rnacentral:lncRNA from 1 species
GUGGCAUGGUGAUUGGUUCUUUUGAUUUUGACUCUUUCAUUUGGCAUUAUCCUCUUGGUUGAGAUGAUUGCUGAUGUGGUGUUGAGGUGGCGUCUGGUUGAGAUGAUUGCUGAUGUGGUGUUGAGGUGGCGUCCCAAUAGGUGUCACAUAGCAUGUUGCAUAGUGAUUGGUUCUUCUGAUGAGGUGGCAUGACGUUGCAUUGGUUCCUUUAGUUGAGAUGAUGUGGUCGACUCCUUAUGCUUGACUUCAUCCUGGUUGGCGUGCUUCCAUUGGUUGGAGUGGCGGUGAGGUGGCCAGCUGAUGUUGAUGUGGAUGCCAAGGUGGUGCUCCAAGGGUGUGCAAAGGUGGUGGUAGAAACAUGCAAGGUGGCAGUAGAAACAU